CUUCCUGAACCGACUGUGCACAAGCCAAACAGUGGAAUUCCAGAGAACGCCUGAAGGCAAACCUUCUUUGGAAAGGUGCAACUCCCCAUGUGACUGCGUCAGGAAAGUGUGCUUUUAAGAGUGCUGAGCUUGACGAGGUGACGGCAGACCUCACAGAGCAGCAGAGGCUUCACUUGGAGUAACAAAGCAGUCUCAAUCCUGCAACCAAGCUUCUGAUAAAUCACCAGGACUCUUCCACUCUGCUGAAAUCACCAUGUUACAAAAUGAGGAGCUCGAGUGUGUUGUGUGCUGCUACGAGUACUCGCGCAGCCACCGGAUCCCACGGGUCCUCCACUGCAACCACACCUUCUGCGCCCCUUGCCUGGAAAAAAUGUCCAAGCUGGAGGGCGUCAUUUACACCGUCUCCUGCCCCUUGUGCCGCUGGAUUACCUGCACCCGAGCCAGCCUCACCCUACCCGGAGCCCUGUGGGUCAACACUGAGAUCUGGGACCAGAUUGCAGAGGAGCAGAGGGCGAGGACAAAUGGAUCUGUGGAGGAUCUGAAAGACACAAAGACACCCCUCAUCACACCAACACUGCCUGUUUCAAGGCCGACUGGUUUCACAUCAACGCUCCAAAAGUUGCUCAGCUGUGUGCUGCUGCAAAGAGGGAACAUGGACGGCUGCUGACAGUUUAAUGCCACAAGAAAUUCCAGCUUCACUCACCGUUGUUGACAUGCCUAACUUGACAGACCUGAUGAAUAUGAGCAUGACUCAGGGACUAGUGUAUGAUCACGGUUCAAAGUAAAGGACUGGCUACGUUUGUGUUUUGUGAGGAGCAAAGUCCAGAACAGCUUCAUGUGAAGUUUCAAGUCCUUUUUGUGUUGAACCUGGAGGUGGUUCUACAAGGACAGCACUGACUUUAAGUAUACAAGUUCUGACUUGUGAAUCUAUGAUUUACUGCAGUGAAACUAAUGAAAAAUAUCAACAAAUCAACUUUCAGUUCAUCUUGAAGUCUUCUCAAAGUGAAAGCGGCAGUUCCUCCUUAAGGUCAGAGAUUGCAGCAUCUGAGGGCCUCUUCAAAAGAAGACGUAGUUGAUGAAGGCGUUCUGGAGCAGGACCAGAAAGACCACGACCAAGCAGCCAUGAGAUCUUAGGCAGCGUCUCCCUCGGUUCUGCCGGGCCAGCUCAGCUUCCCCUCAGAAGAAGUGCCGCCACCUGCCAGAUGAAGGAGCCUUUUG
ensembl:lncRNA